rnacentral:rRNA from 1 species
GAUGAACGCUGGCGGCGUGCCUAAUACAUGCAAGUAGAACGCUGAAGGAGGAGCUUGCUCUUCUGGAUGAGUUGCGAACGGGUGAGUAACGCGUAGGUAACCUGCCUGGUAGCGGGGGAUAACUAUUGGAAACGAUAGCUAAUACCGCAUGACAACAGUUAUUGCAUGAUAACUGUUUAAAAGGGGCAACUGCUCCACUACCAGAUGGACCUGCGUUGUAUUAGCUAGUUGGUGAGGUAACGGCUCACCAAGGCGACGAUACAUAGCCGACCUGAGAGGGUGAUCGGCCACACUGGGACUGAGACACGGCCCAGACUCCUACGGGAGGCAGCAGUAGGGAAUCUUCGGCAAUGGACGGAAGUCUGACCGAGCAACGCCGCGUGAGUGAAGAAGGGUUUCGGAUCGUAAAGCUCUGUUGUAAGAGAAGAACGAGUGUGAGAGUGGAAAGUUCACACUGUGACGGUAUCCUACCAGAAAGGGACGGCUAACUACGUG